CCAUCAUUCAGUUGGGCACUCUAGCGAGACUGCCGGUAAUAAACCGGAGGAAGGUGGGAGUGACGUCAAAUCAUCAUGCCCCUUAUGACCUGGGCUACACACGUGCUACAAUGGUUGGUACAACGAGUUGCGAGUCGGUGACGGCGAGCUAAUCUCUUAAAGCCAAUCUCAGUUCGGAUUGUAGGCUGCAACUCGCCUACAUGAAGUCGGAAUCGCUAGUAAUCGCGGAUCAGCACGCCGCGGUGAGUACGUUCCCGGGCCUU
rnacentral:rRNA from 1 species